UUUACAAACUACUUAAGAAACGCUUAAAAAUACAAAGACUAUAAAAGAACACUUCAAUAUUCUGACUACUUUGUACAUCGCAAUCCCAUUGUACAUAUUUCAGAGCAGUUGUGGAUGUGGCGCUUUUCCCCCCACGAUGAUGGCCAGUGGCCUCUGGACCGUUCCCGGGCAGCGCUCCGUGAAAACUCUUCGCAAGCCAGCGGUGUCCACCGGCUACGGGGCAAACUGCGGGGAUCAAGCGGCGGCUCCGCGGGGAUGGGACCGUGCCCGGCGGAGCGGAGCCGGGCGGAGCCGUCCCGGCGCUGCGGAGCGCCCGGGGCUGCGGCAGGGAGCGCAGGGGGAGCGCCCGGGGGUCCCGGCGGCGCUGCGCGCCCGCUACCCUCGCGUUCUCCGCCCGGGGACGGCCGGAGGCCAGCGGAGAGAGGCAGCGGCGUCCCGGAGCGUGUGCGGCGGGGCCUCCGCACCUGCCGAGCCGAGCCCCCGCCCCGCGGAGCUGCGGGAACAGCGCGAAGGGAUCUACACGGGCUCCUCAGGUGCCGGAGAACCCCCUCUUCCCGUGAUACGCGCCUGGGGAGCCUGGGUGCCAGUCCCGGCAGCGCAUCGGCGCCCGCACCGGGGUGCCUUUUGCCGGUGAAACCAGUAAGAUCACCGAACACAGACCCCUCAAGCCAGGCAAGCACGAAAAACGCUGAGGGAUACUCUGAAAUAUGAAGGGCUUGCCAUUCUGCCAAGGGCUGAGUGCAUUGAUUAUGUUAAUGCAGAAGGGAAGAAAGAUGUGACACUGCAGAAAUGAUGCAUAAGAGAAAAAUCAAAUUCAUGGAGGUACAUGGAGAGAACAGCAAAAUCUUCUUAAUGCUUUUAGCACCACCAUGAAAAAAGAGCAAUUGCAAGGAAAGAACAGCUCAAGCUCUGCAGGUGUGGACUGCAGCAUACUGAGUGUUAAAAUCCCAG